rnacentral:rRNA from 1 species
AUGAACCCCUCCUCGGGCCUGGGACCGGAUGGCAUGCCCGUAACGUUCUUUAAGACGUUCUGGCCGACCAUCAAGCCGAAGGUCAUGGCCCUGUUUGAGGAAUUCUACUCGGGCACUAUGGAUCUUGGGCGUCUUAACUAUGGCAUCGUGACCCUCAUCCCCAAGGUCCCGGGCGCCUCCGACAUCCGCCAAUUUCGGCCAAUCACAGUGAUUAAUGUGAUAUUCCGGAUCCUGGCCAAAGGGUACGCCAAUAGGGUGACCCUUCUUGCGGACACGAUUAGCCACCCGAACCAAUCCGCCUUCAUACAAGGCCGAUUUAUUCUGGAUGGGGUUCUGGUUUUCCACGAAGUCCUCCAUGAGGUCCGGAUGAAACACCGUCGGGCGGUUUUCUUGAAGCUAGACUUCCACAAGGCCUACGACACGGUCCACUAG